rnacentral:lncRNA from 1 species
CACGAACGGGCUCCGGGAGCGGCGGCGGCGGGGCCCCGGGGAGCGCACGGCCCCGGAGCCGGCCCGGCACAGCGAGCGGGGCGCGGGCACCACCUGGUGCUCGCCGCGCAGAAACGCACCCGGGGGUGCCCCGGAGCCGCGGCCCCGGCCCCCGCACCCUGCCCCUGCCCCGGAGCCCCCCCGGCGCCUCCCAGCGCUGUCCGCCAGCAGCGGCCGAUUUCCAAACCGCCUCCGAGCGCAAAGCCCCCGCCUGCCCAGGUCCCCCCCGGCCCUGCAGGGGCACGGAGCGCUCCGGGAGCCGGCGCCGCGUCCUCGAUUCGCGGGAGGCUGCGGGCACCGGGGCGAGCGGGCGGCACCGGCGGGAGCCGGGUGCCCGGUGCCGGCCCCGCAGCUCCCGGCAGGGAGCAGCACGGGGCCGAUCCCCCCCCGGCUCCCCGGCCGCUGCCAGCCCCGGCGAACAAAAGGCACAGGCAGGGCUUUGUGCCGGGUCGGGCAGGCCCCCUAAUCCUCAUCAAGGAAAUUAAGCCACGCAUUGAUUUUUAUUUUUUUCUUUUUCAUCACCCGCGAGCCCGGGGCCGGCGGUGCCAGGGCUUGCAUAACCCGCCGACGUGCAGCAGGACCACCAGGACAGCAGAGCCGCUACCGGCUGCUGCUGCUCCCGAGGCCAGGCUCCACGCCCGUGACCCCCCCAGGCAGGGAGAAGCAGCUCCUGGUGCACGCAGAGCCCAGCUGCACGCCCCCCCGCAGGACAGGGAGCCCCUGCUGCAUCCUCUCUGCAUGCAAGGGAAUCAGACGGAGGCCUUACACCCCUGUUUUGUCCCCCAGGAAAGAACAGGGAGAAAGAAAUUGCUUAGAGAGGUGCGAUGCAUCAAGCACAGAUGCUGCAGGCUCUGCUCCUGAGGGUCAGGAGAGCAGAGACCCUUCACUGCUGCAGGCUCCUCACACCUCCCACAUUCACCCCCCUUACAGAAAUUGAGAGGUCCCAGCCAGUCCCACACAUUCUGGUUCACAGAGCUCCCGAG